AGCAGUUGGCUCGAAUUGGGAGGCGCUGGACUAGAUUCCAUCCUGCAUUCGUCCAGUUUGCCAGCACUUUUCAAAGUCACUUUUGUCUUUGGCGGAGUGGAGCGGAGAACACUGUGGAAGUUGUUGGCCAAAACCAAGUCAAGAGGUUAACCCGUUUAGCUCUCAAUCAUACACAAUAUCAAUUUGAAUGCACAGAGGCGGGCGAGGCAAAGCGAAUCGCAUUCGCCAGGGCAACUAUGAAAAUUGAAAAACCCCAUUUUAUCAUGGCGAACACGUACGGGAAGAGCACAAAUUCCACAGCAGCUACAGAACUCCGGCAGAAACAACAAUCAGGCGGGAACAAUAUUUACUGCGUGCGCACCAAAGUAUGCAGCAAGAAAAAUCACAAACGCAGGAUGAUAACAGGACGACAAAGGACAUCAAGGGGAGUGGAGUGGCAGGAGCAGUGAGCAGCGAGCACGAUGACAAUGUUAAAAAUGACAACUUGGCAACAAUUAUAUUCCAGGACGAGUGUGGGCGGCUGUGUGUUGUCCCGCAUAUGAACAAGAAAAUGGAAACAACAAUGUCAACAGUAUCAACAUGGCGUAUGAGCAACGUUCAAUUGGAAACCCAUUCGAUUCAAGUGGCAACAAUGCGAUAAACUGUUCCAACAUCCAGCAGCAACGUUUUGCAUUUGCCCAUUCAUUGGUAGAUUGUGCAGGAAAUUGAGGGCGCGGUGUGCCGCCACCAGAUGCCAACAACUUAAGUGCUCUGCAUACACAAAUAUGAAUAUAAAAACUGUUUUAAAUAUAAUUUUGGGCACAACUCGCCC
ensembl:ncRNA lncRNA:CR45170 long non-coding RNA:CR45170